rnacentral:rRNA from 1 species
CACGUAGGGCGCAAGCGUUGUCUGGAAUUAUUGGGCGUAAAGAGCUCGUAGGCGGUCUGUUGCGUCCGCUGUGAAAACUCGGGGCUUAACCCCGAGCCUGCAGUGGAUACGGGCAGACUAGAGGUAGGUAGGGGAGAAUGGAAUUCCCGGUGUAGCGGUGAAAUGCGCAGAUAUCGGGAGGAACACCGGUGGCGAAGGCGGUUCUCUGGGCCUUACCUGACGCUGAGGAGCGAAGGCGUGGGGAGCGAACAGG